AAGCCAUGAUGAGGACACUUUCUCAACAGCUCCUUGAACCUUUCCCAAGAGUCAUAUAAAGAUUCCCCCUCAAGCUGGUAAGAACUUGGUCUCCCCCCUUAAUUU